AUUGAACGCUGGCGGCAGGCUUAACACAUGCAAGUCGAACGAGUGGCGGACGUGUGAGUAAUGCUUGGGAAUCUAGCUUAUGGAGGGGGAUAACUACGGGAAACUGUAGCUAAUACCGCGUACCCUAGUAUGAGCCCAAGUGAGAUUAGGUAGGUGGUGGGGUAAAGGCUCACCAAGCCGAAGAUCUCUAGCUGGUCUGAGAGGAUGACCAGCCACACUGGGACUGAGACAUGGCCCAGACUCCUACGGGAGGCAGCAGUGGGGAAUAUUGCGCAAUGGGGGCAACCUGACGCAGCCAUGCCGCGUGAAUGAAGAAGGCCUUAGGGUUGUAAAGUUCUUUCGGUAGGGAGGCGUUAACUACAGAAGAAGCACCGGCUAACUCCGUGCCAGCAGCCGCGGUAAUAC
rnacentral:rRNA from 1 species